CGGAUUAACUCCCGAACUGACACUGUUUAGUCAAUCAGAGAAGAAGAUGAAGAAGAAAGGACACACCGCGCUUUGGAAAGCAGAGCUAAAUGGUAAACAAACAUGGCAGCACACCGGUAAGCCGACGGAGAGGCGACAGCAAGUCUCCACGCCGUAAACCGAUCUGCCUCGGAGAGAGCGCGAGGCAGAGCGGGAGAGGAUUCCUGAUAUGGAUCUACCUCAGAAAACUCAGCCAAACAAAGCCUCACCUGUUUUCACCGCCCUGCCUUGUUCCUCCUCCACCACCUCCUCCACCUCCUCCUCCUCCUCCUCCACCACCGCCGCUGCUGCUGCACCACCACACUCUGAAUCCACUUUGUCAGUUUGUGCAUUUUCUCUCUGGUUUUGUUUCCGUCGGGGAUUGUGGAAGCUUUGAUACACAGAAAUACCUGUUAGUAGUUGUCGAUCCUUUUUUUUCCCUCCCAAAUACCUCCACCCUCCCCUUCGCCUCCACCGGAACAGAAAAUUACCCCAUUUACCCUCUUCCAUUUUGGGUGUCCCAAAUCGGGGCCCCCGGGGCAGAUCCCAGACAUAAAAGUUAGCAUUGAGGAGCCGAGUGUCCGAUAUCAGUUAAUGUGAGAUACAACUAAUUAGUCCAUUAUCGGGCCCCUGCUCUCACCGGCUCAUAAAUUGGAGCCACUCAAAGGUCGUUUAUUAUUUAUCAGAGUGGGUGAGGGAGGGGGCAGGAGAGGGGGUAGGAGGAGGAGGAGGAGGAGGAGGGGGUUGAUGCUGGUGCUUCGGUUUGCUUGUUCAACAUAUCAAGAUUAGUUUCAACUAGCCCUGUUGGAUGGCUGCAGCCUGCAAACACCACACACAUGCACGCACAUUUUAUCACACACACACACACACACACACACACACAAACACGCUUCUUGUGGCUGCCCGGCUGCAGGAGGCCGACACAGAUUUGAUUCAGAGCAAACUUUGUGUUCAGUUUGUGUCACA